rnacentral:rRNA from 1 species
UACGGGGGGAGCAAGCGUUGUUCGGAUUUACUGGGCGUAAAGGGCGCGUAGGCGGCCACCGCAAGUCGGUUGUGAAAUCUCUGGGCUUAACCCAGAAAGGUCAACCGAUACUGCGGGGCUAGAGUGCAGAAGGGGCAACUGGAAUUCUCGGUGUAGCGGUGAAAUGCGCAGAUAUCAGGAGGAACACCGGUGGCGAAGGCGCCACUCUGGGCCGGUACUGACGCUGAGGAGCGAAAGCGUGGGGAGCGAACAGG